GGUGAGAUGGCCGAGCGGUCUAAGGCGCCAGACUAAGGAGCACACUGUCAUCUGGUCCGAAAGGGCGUGGGUUCGAAUCCCACUCUCAUCA